AAGGCCUAAUUUUUUUUGUUAUUUGACUUGUUGAUGGCCUUCUCCCUCCGGUUCGUACCUCGAAACCUUGCCCGAUUUCCCGUUCUCCGCGCCGCUUCCGCCGUCCGAAUUCCCGUCUCCGCCCGUUGUUCCAUGGCGGCUCAUCCACUGCGGGUGGGCGUCGCACAGAUGACUUCCACCAACGAUCUGGAAUCCAAUUACAACACCUGUUCUCGUCUCGUCAAGGAGGCUGCUGCUGCUGGAGUUACUUUACUAUGCCUCCCUGAGAGUUUUUCUUUUAUAGCGGCUAAGGAGGGAGAAUCACUAAAAAUAGCUGAACCGUUAGAAGGACCAAUUAUGCAGAGAUAUUGCUCACUUGCACGAAAUUCAAAUAUUUGGUUGUCACUUGGAGGAUUUCAAGAGAAAGGACCAGAUGAUUCCCAUCACUACAACACUCAUGUUCUGGUUGACUGUACUGGAAAUAUCAAGAAAAUAUACCGUAAAAUACACUUGUUUGAUGUGGAUGUUCCUGGCAGUAUGGUUUACAAGGAGAGCAACAUCACAGCUCCAGGUGACUCGAUUGUAACAGCAGAGAGCCCUGUUGGAUUACUUGGUCUUACUGUCUGUUAUGACUUGAGAUUUCCAGAGCUCUAUCAGCAGUUGCGUUUUCAGCAUCAAUCACAGAUUCUCUUGGUUCCAUCUGCAUUUACUAAGGUAACAGGGGAGGCGCAUUGGGAAAUUCUUCUUCGAGCUCGGGCCAUUGAGACUCAGUGCUAUAUCAUUGCUGCCGCACAAGCUGGAAGACACAACGAAAAAAGAGAAAGUUAUGGAGAUUCUUUGAUUAUUGAUCCAUGGGGAACGGUCGUAGCUCGUCUUUCAGUGCCACAGAUCGUUUGGCCACCGGAAUUGCAGUAGCUGAUAUCGAUCUCGCAAAGAUUGAUUCCGUGAGAAACCGAAUGCCUAUCUCUUCUCAUAGGAGACUCACAAGUUGCUUCUAGUAUUAAUCAUGUUGUUGUCUAUGGAUAAUGUAUUGUUUAUUUGUUCCUAAUCUGGCAACAAAACAGAUAUUUAAAUUAACUAGUGUACAUUAAUUGUGAUAAUUUAUUUUAAAUGUUUUCAUUAUUAGAA